rnacentral:ncRNA from 1 species
AGUAAGGCUGUGACGGGGAGAGUAGGUUUACCGGAAGUAAAGCGAGCCGGGGUUGGUGUGAGCCCGGUACGAAAGGUAUUCUGAAGCGCACCCCUGAGCUGCGUGCCCAACGGCAUUUGCCCAGUAGGCCACGCCGGGUCUGCCCGUUAUCGCAAACCGUUUAUGAAGUUAUAGACGGGUUAAGUGGGCUUAUGGCCAAUAAAGGUGGUACCGCGAGAUGCCUCUCGUCCUUUGG